GAAGGAAUUAUGACCCUUCGGCAUCGCCCUGCGGGGGGAGGUGCCAAACCGCCUCGUGCUGCGUUAGCUAGCGACUGUCGUGGUGAGCGAUGAGGAAAAGGUGUCCAAGAGGCGUCAGGU
rfam:Streptomyces sp. RV15 genomic scaffold PRJNA299236_s021, whole genome shotgun sequence.